CCUGGUGGCUGAGACAGUAAAGCGUCUGCCUAUAAUGCGGGAGACCUGGGUUCAAUCCCUGGGUCAGGA
rnacentral:tRNA from 1 species